rnacentral:tmRNA from 1 species
GGGGGCGUAUUUGGUUUCGACUCUUGGUGCGAAACGACGUCUGCAUGCCGAGGAUGAUUCGUUGGCCUCGUAAAAAAUCGGAUCAAAAAAUAACAGCAGAGAACGAAGAUCUCGCUCUCGCGGCUUAAUGCCCGCGACGGCUUCCAGUUGACGCCUGCUAGGCGGGAGGCCGACGACAGCAGGCAAUCCGGGGACGGGAGCAACCGCCGCCGCCGGAGAACUUCACGUGGAUGCUAAGACAAGGGUAGCGCGUCGCCGAGCAGCCCGAGUCCGACAACUCACCGGCGACUAAGCAUGUAGCAGGCGGCGUCCAACGCCAUGAGGACACGGGUUCGACUCCCGUCGCCUCCAGCC